CGGGGUGAGUAACGCGUGGAUAACCUGCCUUACACUGGGGGAUAACACUUAGAAAUAGGUGCUAAUACCGCAUAAGCGCACAGAGCCGCAUGGCUCAGUGUGAAAAACUUCGGUGGUGUAAGAUGGAUCCGCGUCUGAUUAGCUGGUUGGCGGGGGUAGAAGCCCACCAAGGCGACGAUCAGUAGCCGGCCUGAGAGGGUGAACGGCCACAUUGGGACUGAGACACGGCCCAAACUCCUACGGAAGGCAGCAG
rnacentral:rRNA from 1 species